ACUGGGCAAGGUGGUGCGUGCCUGUAAUCCCAGCGGCUUGGGAGGCUAAGGCAGGAGGAUCGCAAGUUCAAAGCCAGCCUCAGCAAAAGCGGUGCGCUAAGCAACUCAGUGAGACCCUGUUUCUA
rnacentral:sRNA from 1 species